rnacentral:rRNA from 1 species
GUGCGAGCGACAGGGAGAGCCCAUCGCCGAAUCCCAAAGGCCUCGCCUUUAGGGAAAUGUGGCGUUAAGGAGGGUCUGUUAUACUUGCAGCUUUGCGCCGAGUCCAAGUCCAUCUUGAACGGGGCCACGGUCCGUAGAGGGUGCCAGGCCCGUAGGAGGCCGGCGAAGGCUGCUGGUAGACCUCUCCUAAGAGUCAGGUUGCUUGAGAGUGCAGCCCUAAGUGGGUGGUAAACUCCAUCUAAGGCUAAAUACAACCACGAGACCGAUAGCGAACAAGUACCGUGAGGGAAAGUUGAAAAGAACUUUGAAGAGAGAGUUCAAGAGUACGUGAAACCGCUUGGGGGUAAACGGACAAGAGCCAAAAUUUCGAAACGAGAGAUUCACGUCUGCACGCGGGCCCAUGCGCCCCGUGGGCGGGAUGGGCCGUUCACCCCGUCCGGGCAACCGGGCGGCGGGGCGGCUCGCCCUCCCCAGGUCGUCGGACCGCGUAAGACCGCAUUUCUCUCUUAGUAGGACGUCGCGACCCGUUCGGCGUCGGUCUAAGGCCCCGCUACCAAAAGUCUGCCAGGGCGGCGCAAGCCGGUCCUGGUAGGAAGUGGGAGUCCCGGCCGUGCGCCAGACGGUAUCAAACGACGGUGUCGGACCGCUCUCCGGAGCGUCUUCGGUGCCUCGCGAGCCGGCGGCUCGGAUCUGCGACGGACCUCGGUCCGGCCAGUCCGAACGCCCGACUGUCGGCGAGGUAACCUCGGACAGGGUCCACAACACCAGUCGGCGGCGCUUUGUUUUGCGUGCUUGCCCGACCCGUCUUGAAACACGGACCAAGAAGUCUAACGUGCGCGCGAGUCACUGGGUGAAAAACCUAAAGGCGCAAUGAAAGUGAAGGGGAUUGUAUUUCUGAGGGGAGAUGGGCGCCUGCCGUCAAAGGCGGCGUCCCGCAUUCCCGGGGCGUCUCUUUCUCACUGCGAGUGGAGGCGCACCCAGAGCGCGCACGUUGUGACCCGAAAGAUGGUGAACUAUGCCUGGCCAGGACGAAGCCAGGGGAAACCCUGGUGGAGGUCCGCAGCGAUUCUGACGUGCAAAUCGAUCGUCAGAGCUGGGUAUAGGGGCGCAAGACCAAUCGAACCAUCUAGUAGCUGGUUCCCUCCGAAGUUUCCCUCAGGAUAGCUGGCGCCCAAGAGGUGAGAGUCUCACCUGGUAGAGCGAAUGAUUAGAGGCCUUGGGGUCGAAACGAUCUCAACCUAUUCUCAAACUCCAAACAGAUGAGAACCCCGCCUUGCUUGAAAGUGAAGGCGGGGCUUCUGAUCAGGGUGCCAAGUGGGCCAUUUUUGGUAAGCAGAACUGGCGCUGUGGGAUGAACCAAACGCAGAGUUAAGGCGCCCGAAUCGACGCUCAUGUGAAACCAUGAAAGGCGUUGGUUGCUUAUGACAGCAGGACGGUGGCCAUGGAAGUCGGAAUCCGCUAAGGAGUGUGUAACAACUCACCUGCCGAAGCAACUAGCCCUGAAAAUGGAUGGCGCUGUAGCGUCGUGCCUAUACUCUGCCGUCAACGGCAAACCGGGCAAGCCCCCUCGCGGGGUUGCGCUGUUAGGCCUUGACGAGUAGRRGGGUCGCGGCGAUGUGCGCAGAAGGGUCUGGGCGUAAGCCUGCCUGGAGCCGUCGUCGGUGCAGAUCUUGGUGGUAGUAGCAAAUACUCCAGCGAGGCCCUGGAGGACUGAUGUGGAGAAGGGUUUCUUGUGAACAGCUGUUGCACAAGAGUCAGUCGACCCUAAGCCCUAGGAGAAAUCCGAUGUCGAUGGGCCGCCGUUAAACCUCUUGCAAAAGCCGGCGAGGAAAAAUGAGGAGGGGCCUCUGCUCUUCCUCCCUCUCGGCUGCCGGAGAGAUGGCGCCCACCGGGCGAAAGGGAAUCCGGUUCCUAUUCCGGAACCCGGUAGCGGUAGCGUUCCAAUCCGGGCCCUCAUCCGAGAGCUCGACGGGGCAACCCGAACAGACCCGGAGACGCCGUCGGGAGAUUCGGGGAGAGUUGUCUCUUCUCUAUAAGCGUUCGAGUUCCCUGGAAACCUCUAGCAGGGAGAUAGGGUUUGGAACGCGAAGAGCACCGCAGUUACGGCGGUGUCCGAAUCGUCCCCGCGGACCUUGAAAAUCCGGGAGAGGGCCACGCGGAAUACCGCGCCGGUUCGUACCCAUAUCCGCAGCAGGUCUCCAAGGUUAAUAGCCUCUAGUCGAUAGAAUAAUGUAGGUAAGGGAAGUCGGCAAACCCGAUCCGUAACUUCGGGAUAAGGAUUGGCUCUGAGGAUCGUGGCGAGCCGGGCUUGGUUGGGAAGCGGAGACGCGUCAACGUGCCGGGCCUGGGCGAGGUGAAAGGCAGUCGCAUGCCCGGAUCCGAGCUCGGUCCCGUGUCUUGGCCACCCGCGGACCUCCCUUGCUGUCAGCUGUCGGUGUCUCCCCGGGGCUUAGCCGCCCUCCGGAACUCGGCAGUCUUUUCGGCCGCCAUUCAACGAUCA